GACGAACGCUGGCGGCGUGCCUAACACAUGCAAGUCGAACGAAGUUUUAUGGAAUGCGACUUCGGUCAAAUGAAGUUUAAACUUAGUGGCGGACGGGUGAGUAACGCGUGAGCAACCUGCCUUUCAGAGGGGGAUAACGUUUGGAAACGAACGCUAAUACCGCAUGAUAUAACGUAAUCGCAUGAUUGUGUUAUCAAAGGAGCAAUCCGCUGAAAGAUGGGCUCGCGUCCGAUUAGGUAGUUGGUGGGGUAACGGCCUACCAAGCCGACGAUCGGUAGCCGGACUGAGAGGUUGAACGGCCACAUUGGGACUGAGACACGGCCCAGACUCCUACGGGAGGCAGCAGUGGGGAAUAUUGCACAAUGGGGGAAACCCUGAUGCAGCGACGCCGCGUGAGUGAAGAAGUAUUUCGGUAUGUAAAAGCUCUAUCAGCAGGGAAGAAAAAUGACGGUACCUGACUAAGAAGCCCCCGGCUAAACUACGUG
rnacentral:rRNA from 1 species